rnacentral:rRNA from 1 species
UACGUAGGGGGCAAGCGUUGUCCGGAAUCAUUGGGCGUAAAGCGCGCGUAGGCGGCCCGGUAAGUCCGCUGUGAAAGUCGGGGGCUCAACCCUCGGAUGCCGGUGGAUACUGUCGGGCUUGGAGUGCCGGAAGAGGCGAGUGGAAUUCCUGGUGUAGCGGUGAAAUGCGCAGAGUAUCAAGGAGGAACACCAAUUGCGAAGGCAG